rnacentral:piRNA from 1 species
UACGGUGUGCUUCCUGUGUAUUAGGCAC